GUGUAGAUUUCUACAACUAAGCUCAUUUAUAUAAUAAUCAUAAGUUUUAACAGGUAUGUAUGUAUUGUUAUUAAGAAUCUUGGUUUAUAUAUAUACACCGACGCAUAUAGAAAUUAGUAGACGACUAAGCAUCUUUAUAUGGAGACAGUGUUUGAUAAAUGGCAAAAUUAAAGAUGACAAACUUUUUCACACUUUUCGUUUUGCUUUCAGUGACAAAUGAAGGUGUUGUAUCUUGAAUGAGAAGUUGUCGCAAUGAUAACUGGCACGGCUUUAACUGCGAAACUGAAACUUCUUGCUACGAGCAUUGUUUGAAGAACCAAGGGGAUUCUGUGGCAUUCUCGUCACUUUGUUUAGGACCUCACAAUUGUUUUUGCCAAUAUUGGUGCCUACCACCGGGGGAGAAGAUAUAAUAAUAAUAAUAUU